CGUGAGUACUUCCCCAGCAACAUACUGCAAAAUUCCAAGUGCGACAUUCCCUUGUUUUUGUGUCUGGAUGAAGUCUCAAAUGGACAGAGAAGAGGAACCAAUACCCUCAACAUCUGGAAUUGGAUCUGAUGGAAUUAGAGGAAGAGAGAGUCCCAGACAAGUGUGGUUUAGACCUCACUACGACUUGUCAAGUGAUGACUCUGAUUAGAUUGGGAUCUUGAAAAACUAAGACCUACCAGAGAAGACCCAUUAGGAUACUGGAAUGUCUAUGUUGUUUUGUUUAAAGCCAAUGGCUUUCUAGCAGGACCGAGGAUGCCUUAGGUAGCGUCUUGCACCAGGGCUUUUCUUUAUCCCGCUGCUAGAUAUUUUAUUUUAGAUGUUAAGGAUUCUAGCAGGACCGAGGAUGCCUUAGGUAGCGUCUUGCACCAGGGAUUUUCUUUAUCCCGCUGCUAGAUGUUUUAUUUUAGAUGUUAAGGUUUCUGGUAGAACAGGCAAUGCUGACUUUUUUGCUGUUAAUGAAUGUAUGACUAAAUGCUGGAGGAUGCUAAUUUAAAUUUCUGAGGAACAAGACCAUACUGGGAAACAAAAAACACUAAAAGUAGUCGGACAUGGAUGGUGCAUAAAAGAUAAACACUAAAAGGAAUAAGACAACGCUACAGGAUUAAUAUUAAAAUAAAACAAUCUUGCUGGGUAAAAAUCAAACCUCAAAACUAUUAAGACAACGCGGCUCAGGACAUUGGAAUCAAUACAAUUGAGACAACACUGCUGCAAAUUAAACUCUAAAAUUUAAACAAUAUUUAUGACAGUUCUAAUUUUUAAGACAUAAAAAAAUACAAAUGGAGACACAUUAUAAUCGGUUGAGCUCUGGUGUAAAUGGAUUGAAACAGCGGUUUUAAAGUUACAAUCAUUCUGGUCUGGACUUUAUAAAAACCACAGGAAAUGAAACGUUUUAAAGUAUGAAAUAACAACGGCAGCGACAGUAAAAACGGGAGUUAAUUCAAACGUUCAAAGAUGAAAGAGGAAGAGAGAAAUAGGCAGGACCUUUGGACCCGGAUAUGAACUGUUGAUCCACGGAUCAAUCAUUUGGUGGCUGGAUUCCAAAACCCUCAACACCACAUGUUAAAAUGAGCAAGACAUUUAAACUCAGGUGAUAAUAAUGGUUUUAAAAGUAGGUAAUGCUGCUGGGUGUCAAACCUAAAAUCUCUUAAGACUGAGAAGAGACAACGCUUUUCUGGACAAAUUCAUUUCUCUAAGGAUGGAGACAACGCUUCUCAAGUAGUGAGAAAUAUUCAUCUUUUAGGACUAAUAUGAUGUCACGGUGGACAAAUUAAAAUGUAGAAGAAUUUAAACAUCCCGCAGAGAACAAAUUAAAAUCUUUAAGGAUAAAAGAAAAAGACAGGAAUAAAUGCCAAGUUUCAGGGUGUAAUAGCGGUGCUUCCCCACACGGUGCUUCUAAUAUAGUCAAUUGUUCUCACCUGGUCCUUCAUUAAUCCAGUCUCCCAGUUUGAAUCUUUCAGGUUCAUCGUUGGAUUCUUUCGUGGUUCUCCAUGUGGACAUUAAAAAAUACAGACAUUAGUCUCUGAUCCAAGGUCCAGACGUCUCAGAUCUCUGAUGUUCUGAUCAUCCCAGGUUGGAUCCUCAUCAGCCUGGAAUCCUCCACCUUCAACACCGUCAGUCAGGUGGAGGAAGAUAAGAGAACCCAGUUGACGAAAAAAAGUAAGAACAUUUCUAUCUACUCAACAUAACUAAACAUUUCAGAUGGAGCUGCGUAGAGUUGAGUUGAAAGUUCCAAACUGGUUCUGUCUGCUGUCCAUGAUUAUUUUCCUCUUUAACUCUCUUGUCUUUUCUCUUUAUUUCAUUUCUCUAUCAACUCAUGUCACAUGACUUGAGUUGACCAACAAAUAAAGCAGAAGACCUGCUCCACCUGCUGUUCUACUGGUUGGAAGAGAUUGUGGAAAAGCAUCAGCGAGAAAAGACAACAACUCUUGACCAAUGAGGAGAGAGAAGACACAGAGGACUGAGGAGACAGAAAAUCCUGCUGGAAAUCCAUAAAAAAUGUUUCCUGAUGGACCAGGGGGACAGCUGAGGACAGGACAGCAUGAAGAGACAGAGAUCAUGUGAAGUUGGAUCUCCUGAGCCUGGAAUCCUCCACCUUCAACACCGUCAGUCAGGUGGAGGAAGAUAAGAGAACCCAGUUGAUGAAAAAACAUCAGCGAGAAAAGACAACAACUCUUGACCAAUGAGGAGAGAGAAGACACAGAGGACUGAGGAGACAGAAAAUCCUGCUGGAAAUCCAUAAAAAAUGUUUCCUGAUGGACCAGGGGGACAGCUGAGGACAGGACAGCAUGAAGAGACAGAGAUCAUGUGAAAUUCAAGGAUGACCUUUCAACCCUGGAUUUCAUUUCUGCUUUGGAGCUUCAAGUGUGGAAAAGUUGAUGUGAGAGGAAAUCUUUGAGGUUCAUCUCAGUGAAAAGGGCAGCACCAGACGACAAGAAGAAACCAGACUGCUGGGAUUCUCCUUGAGACGGACCAAACCUCGCUUUCCUGUUCAAACACUGACAAAAUACCAAAGCCCAAGACAAACCAUCAGUUUCUAAAAAGACAUGGACUUUGGGAUACAAAACUCUCUGGACUUUAUUGACUUCAAAUAAAGAAUCACAAAACACAAAUGUGGAUGUUAACUUGUGAAAGCUGCUCUGUCAAAGUUCUGACUC